UCCAGACUCCUACGGGAGGCAGCAGUGAGGAAUAUUGGUCAAUGGCCGAGAGGCUGAACCAGCCAAGUCGCGUGAGGGAUGACGGCCCUACGGGUUGUAAACCUCUUUUGUCGGGGAGCAAAGAGAGUCACGUGUGACUCAUUGAGAGUACCCGAAGAAAAAGCAUCGGCUAACUCCGUGCCAGCAGCCGCGGUAAUACGGAGGAUGCGAGCGUUAUCCGGAUUUAUUGGGUUUAAAGGGUGCGCAGGCGGAGGUACAAGUCAGCGGUCAAAUUGCGGGGCUCAACCCCGUACUGCCGUUGAAACUGCAUCCCUUGAGUGCGCGAGAAGUAUGCGGAAUGCGUGGUGUAGCGGUGAAAUGCAUAGAUAUCACGCAGAACCCCGAUUGCGAAGGCAGCCUUCCGGCGCCCUACUGACGCUGAGGCACGAAAGUGCGGGGAUCGAACAGGAUUAGAUACCCGCGUA
rnacentral:rRNA from 1 species